rnacentral:rRNA from 1 species
UACGUAGGGUGCGAGCGUUGUCCGGAAUUAUUGGGCGUAAAGAGCUUGUAGGCGGUUUGUCGCGUCUGCUGUGAAAAUCCGGGGCUCAACCCGGGAACUGCUUCUGAUACUGGCGGACUUGAGGCCAGUAGAGGUCACUGGAACUGACGGUGGAGCGGUGAAAUGCGUAGAUAUCUGGAGGAACACCGGUGGCGAAGGCGACAUCCUGGACCGGUAUUGACGCUGAGGCGCGAAAGCCAGGGGAGCAAACGGGG